AAUGAUACUGCACUAUUUUCGUUUAUUUUUUCAUUAAAAUAAAUAAAGUGAAAUCAAGUGAGCUUGAGAGAAUAAAAUGCUCGACGAUUUAUAGUGAAAGUGUUAAGUAGACAAAACAUAAAGGAAGCCCUAGGGCCGUUAAAUAAUUAAUAUACGAAGUACAAAAUCAUGGUUGGUUCACUACGCUUUAGCCUAAUAGAGAUAAAAUUCAUUCAUGCUGCUGGAGCGUAAUCAUAGAUAACGUCAUCAUCGUUGUCACCGUUUUCGACAAAUGCAGUUUGAGCAUACUCAAAUACUUGAUCAUUGUUAGCGAUGUUGACUCCAAUGCAUGUUUCGUAGACAUUCUCAUGUACGUAGAGAACAAGUUCGGAGACAGAAACCAUUUUUUUUUUUUUUGGAAACGAAAUGCUUAUCAAGCGUCGAAGAGAAAAUGCAAAACAAAAAAGAUUGAUUUGAGUUUGAUGAGAAAACAAGAGAUCAUUGGACUCUUUAUAGGUGAAACAAAAGUGGAUGUAUGUUUGGACUCGUUUCCGUCUUCUACUGACCUCAAUAAGGAGUGUGACAUGCUGGUAUAAAUUGUGGAAUAGCACAAUAAAAAUUACGAAUCCCACUACACUCUUUGACACAUGGGAUUUAUUCUGACACGUCCGCCC